GGGUCACUAGCUCAACUGGCAGAGCAGCGGACUCUUAAUCCGGAGGUUCAAGGUUCGAUUCCUUGGUGACCCA
rnacentral:tRNA from 2 species